AGAGUUGUAUCCUGGCUCAGAUUGAACGCUGGCGGCAUGCCUUACACAUGCAAGUCGAACGGUAGAGGGGGCAACCCUUCGAGAGUGGCGAACGGGUGAGUAAUAUAUCGGAACGUACCCAGGAGUGGGGGAUAACGUAGCGAAAGUUACGCUAAUACCGCAUACGUCCUAAGGGAGAAAGCAGGGGACCGCAAGGCCUUGUGCUCGUGGAGCGGCCGAUAUCUGAUUAGCUAGUUGGUGGGGUAAAGGCCUACCAAGGCAUCGAUCAGUAGCUGGUCUGAGAGGACGACCAGCCACACUGGAACUGAGACACGGUCCAGACUCCUACGGGAGGCAGCAGUGGGGAAUUUUGGACAAUGGGGGCAACCCUGAUCCAGCAAUGCCGCGUGAGUGAAGAAGGCCUUCGGGUUGUAAAGCUCUUUUGUCAGGGAAGAAAAGGGAUUGGCUAAUAUCCAGUCCUCAUGACGGUACCUGAAGAAUAAGCACCGGCUAACUACGUGCCAGCAGCCGCGGUAAUACGUAGGGUGCAAGCGUUAAUCGGAAUUACUGGGCGUAAAGCGUGCGCAGGCGGUUUUGUAAGACUGUCGUGAAAUCCCCGGGCUCAACCUGGGAAUGGCGAUGGUGACUGCAAGGCUAGAGUUUGGCAGAGGGGGGUAGAA
rnacentral:rRNA from 1 species